rnacentral:rRNA from 1 species
UACGGGGGGGGCAAGCGUUGUUCGGAAUUACUGGGCGUAAAGGGCUCGUAGGCGGCCAACUAAGUCAGACGUGAAAUCCCCAGGCUCAACCGAGGAACUGCGUCCGAUACUGGUUGGCUUGAAUUCGGGAGAGGGAUGCGGAAUUCCAGGUGUAGCGGUGAAAUGCGUAGAUAUCGGUGAGGAACACCGGUGGCGAAGGCGGCGACUCGUGAGCGAGAUGACGCUGAGGCGC